GAAUUAGGACAAUCUUACAUUUAAUCUGAGGAUUCUUGACUGUGACUCGUUCACUUUGAUCUGGAUUGUGGAAGAGGCAGGAGUUGUCCGAUUUAGUUUCGCGUCGUGAGGUGAUCUUACAGUUAUAGCAAAGACAGUCGUUAACUAGUUCCUAGUUUAGCUAAAAACUGUGCUGGUUGAGGAAAGUGUGCGAGUGUGGAGCGACAAUCAGAAUCGUGGCCGGUGUGCUGAAAGCCCGUCACCUCACCCGUUUACCAGUGACCACUCCUGACCCCACUCUGCAGCUUCGAAGUUUCCCGGCGGUCCACUUUGCCGGAAGGGGCCGCGACCGUCAAUCUCGCGCCCAGGCAGGGCGAAGGCAGCAAGUAAGUCAGCAACAGCAACCGUUUUCCCGCUGUCGGUGACGACCGAGAGCGCAGCAGCAAAGUCCACAUCUCGUUGGCGAGGCGCCGUCGGCGCAUGAAGUAAUUUCGUAGCGUAGAAGGAGGAACCGCAACAGAGCG